AGGUAAUUCUGUCUAUUUGUGUAAAUUCAAAGUUUUACAGUUGCUACUUGCUUGGCUAACUAUAGCAUGGUUGUGCAUAAUGCUAGAACGACAUCUAGGAUACUUUUCCUUGCGUCAAUGAUGAAAAAGGAUUGUCUACCUUGUAAAAAAAAUGUAAUCAUGUGUGUCGUGAUUUCUGGCAGACAACUUACGUUAUGUGCAGUUGUAACACAGACCAGCUACAGCUAGAACCACUGCGUGUAAACGAUGGAGAUACUAAGACUAAUUUCGGGUUCGGCCACCGUAGGAGUUAGAACACGCUCGGAAUGGGGGCGGCUAGAAAGUGAAAUUCAGUAGGUUGUCACAUACAAUAUCACCGCUAGAUGGGAAAAAUUCUUACACAAUGUAGCUUUAAGCCAUGGGUGCUGUGCUCA